rnacentral:snRNA from 1 species
AUCGCUUCUCGGCCUUUUGGCUCAGAUCAAGUGUAGUAUCUGUUCUUAUCAGUUUAAUAUCUGAUACGUCCCCCAUCGGGGACUACAUAUUAAAUGGAUUUUUCGAACAGGGGAGUCGGAAAUGGGGCUUGCUCCGUCCGCUCCACGCAUCGACCCGGUAUUGCAGUACCUCCGGGAACGGUGCAACACUU